CAAUGAAGGAAGCAUGGUAAUGUGCACAUAAAUUAAUUUGGGUCUCUAGGCCUGCCCCUCUGAUGCCAUUUGGCUUUGAUUUAGGGGCAUGGUUUUACAACAAAACG
rnacentral:snoRNA from 1 species